ensembl:snRNA LOC120100194 U6 spliceosomal RNA
GUACUUUUUCAGCGCAUACACUAAAAUUGGAAGCAGACAGAAAGGAUUAACAAGCUCCCUGCUCAAGAAUAACAUGAAAUUCUAUAGAGUGUCCCAUAUCUUU